rnacentral:lncRNA from 1 species
CCUGUGAGAUACCACUUACGGUAUAUUGAAUUUGUUCGUUCCUUGGCUUUCUCAACAGUGUUCUCACUACUUUAUACCAAAUUGCCAAUUGUAUGUAUUGUACCGUAACAUAGUAUUCCUUUGAAAUUCCUGCAUUUUUCCUACAAAUUCGCUGGUUUUUCGAGCGAUUUCCUGAAGUGUAAACGGCGUUUUAUAGUAUAACUAUAUGAGAAUUUUGUGUCUGCUAACAAUUAUCGAGGGAUAGCCAAUUUCUUACCUAUAAGUCGCAUAAAUGUCGUGCUGGUGUCCAAAGAAACCAAAUUGUAUAUAAUAUAGUAAAUAUCACAUAGAAGACAAUAGUUUAAAAAAGUCAAUUAUUUGAGGUCGUCGACAUUUUGUUCAAUACCGAGAAGGAAGAUAACGGCGCAGCAGUAGACGAGGAUUCAUCAAAUCGACCUCUGCUCUGUCAUCACAGAUUAAUGCUACACACCCGCUUAACCGCUGUCAACAGUACAGGGAGAUACAAACGACAGUUAGAAAAACAAAUCCAAAUGGAAUAUUACAUCUUUUAAAAAAUAUAACACAUAAUAAAUCAGAUUCUCUACCGCAGCCAUAUUUUACGGUAUAUU